rnacentral:rRNA from 2 species
GGGUUGUGAGGUUAAGCGACUAAGCGUACACGGUGGAUGCCCUGGCAGUCAGAGGCGAUGAAGGACGUGCUAAUCUGCGAUAAGCGCCGGUAAGGUGAUAUGAACCGUUAUAACCGGCGAUUUCCGAAUGGGGAAACCCAGUGUGACUCGUCACACUAUCAUUAACUGAAUCCAUAGGUUAAUGAGGCGAACCGGGGGAACUGAAACAUCUAAGUACCCCGAGGAAAAGAAAUCAACCGAGAUUCCCCCAGUAGCGGCGAGCGAACGGGGAGGAGCCCAGAGCCUGAAUCAGCAUGUGUGUUAGUGGAAGCGUCUGGAAAGGCGCGCGAUACAGGGUGACAGCCCCGUACACAAAAGCGCAUAUGCUGUGAGCUCGAUGAGUAGGGCGGGACACGUGGUAUCCUGUCUGAAUAUGGGGGGACCAUCCUCCAAGGCUAAAUACUCCUGACUGACCGAUAGUGAACCAGUACCGUGAGGGAAAGGCGAAAAGAACCCCGGCGAGGGGAGUGAAAAAGAACCUGAAACCGUGUACGUACAAGCAGUGGGAGCCCCACCACUAAGCCAGUGGUGAACUCCACAUACGCAUCCUUUGCUGAGGAUACGGUUAACGGAGCGAAAGCGACGUUCAACCGCAAAAGAAGCAGAGGGGGCUUAGUGGUGGGGUGACUGCGUACCUUUUGUAUAAUGGGUCAGCGACUUAUAUUCUGUAGCAAGGUUAACCGAAUAGGGGAGCCGGAGGGAAACCGAGUCUUAAUUGGGCGUUAAGUUGCAGGGUAUAGACCCGAAACCCGGUGAUCUAGCCAUGGGCAGGUUGAAGGUUGGGUAACACUAACUGGAGGACCGAACCGACUAAUGUUGAAAAAUUAGCGGAUGACCUGUGGCUGGGGGUGAAAGGCCAAUCAAACCGGGAGAUAGCUGGUUCUCCCCGAAAGCUAUUUAGGUAGCGCCUCGUGAAUUCAUCUCCGGGGGUAGAGCACUGUUUCGGCUAGGGGGCCAUCCCGGCUUACCAACCCGAUGCAAACUGCGAAUACCGGAGAAUGUUAUCACGGGAGACACACGGCGGGUGCUAACGUCCGUCGUGAAGAGGGAAACAACCCAGACCGCCAGCUAAGGUCCCAAAGUCAUGGUUAAGUGGGAAACGAUGUGGGAAGGCCCAGACAGCCAGGAUGUUGGCUUAGAAGCAGCCAUCAUUUAAAGAAAGCGUAAUAGCUCACUGGUCGAGUCGGCCUGCGCGGAAGAUGUAACGGGGCUAAACCAUGCACCGAAGCUGCGGCAGCGACACUCAGGUGUUGUUGGGUAGGGGAGCGUUCUGUAAGCCUGCGAAGGUGGCCUGUGAGGGUUGCUGGAGGUAUCAGAAGUGCGAAUGCUGACAUAAGUAACGAUAAAGCGGGUGAAAAGCCCGCUCGCCGGAAGACCAAGGGUUCCUGUCCAACGUUAAUCGGGGCAGGGUGAGUCGACCCCUAAGGCGAGGCCGAAAGGCGUAGUCGAUGGGAAACGGGUUAAUAUUCCCGUACUUGGUGUUACUGCGAAGGGGGGACGGAGAAGGCUAUGUUGGCCGGGCGACGGUUGUCCCGGUUUAAGCGUGUAGGCUGGUUUUCCAGGCAAAUCCGGAAAAUCAAGGCUGAGGCGUGACGACGAGGCACUACGGUGCUGAAGCAACAAAUGCCCUGCUUCCAGGAAAAGCCUCUAAGCAUCAGGUAACAUCAAAUCGUACCCCAAACCGACACAGGUGGUCAGGUAGAGAAUACCAAGGCGCUUGAGAGAACUCGGGUGAAGGAACUAGGCAAAAUGGUGCCGUAACUUCGGGAGAAGGCACGCUGACAUGUAGGUGAAGUGAUUUACUCAUGGAGCUGAAGUCAGUCGAAGAUACCAGCUGGCUGCAACUGUUUAUUAAAAACACAGCACUGUGCAAACACGAAAGUGGACGUAUACGGUGUGACGCCUGCCCGGUGCCGGAAGGUUAAUUGAUGGGGUCAGCGCAAGCGAAGCUCCUGAUCGAAGCCCCGGUAAACGGCGGCCGUAACUAUAACGGUCCUAAGGUAGCGAAAUUCCUUGUCGGGUAAGUUCCGACCUGCACGAAUGGCGUAAUGAUGGCCAGGCUGUCUCCACCCGAGACUCAGUGAAAUUGAACUCGCUGUGAAGAUGCAGUGUACCCGCGGCAAGACGGAAAGACCCCGUGAACCUUUACUAUAGCUUGACACUGAACAUUGAGCCUUGAUGUGUAGGAUAGGUGGGAGGCUUUGAAGUGUGGACGCCAGUCUGCAUGGAGCCGGCCUUGAAAUACCACCCUUUAAUGUUUGAUGUUCUAACGUGGACCCGUGAUCCGGGUUGCGGACAGUGUCUGGUGGGUAGUUUGACUGGGGCGGUCUCCUCCUAAAGAGUAACGGAGGAGCACGAAGGUUGGCUAAUCCUGGUCGGACAUCAGGAGGUUAGUGCAAUGGCAUAAGCCAGCUUGACUGCGAGCGUGACGGCGCGAGCAGGUGCGAAAGCAGGUCAUAGUGAUCCGGUGGUUCUGAAUGGAAGGGCCAUCGCUCAACGGAUAAAAGGUACUCCGGGGAUAACAGGCUGAUACCGCCCAAGAGUUCAUAUCGACGGCGGUGUUUGGCACCUCGAUGUCGGCUCAUCACAUCCUGGGGCUGAAGUAGGUCCCAAGGGUAUGGCUGUUCGCCAUUUAAAGUGGUACGCGAGCUGGGUUUAGAACGUCGUGAGACAGUUCGGUCCCUAUCUGCCGUGGGCGCUGGAGAACUGAGGGGGGCUGCUCCUAGUACGAGAGGACCGGAGUGGACGCAUCACUGGUGUUCGGGUUGUCAUGCCAAUGGCACUGCCCGGUAGCUAAAUGCGGAAGAGAUAAGUGCUGAAAGCAUCUAAGCACGAAACUUGCCCCGAGAUGAGUUCUCCCUGAGACUUUAGGUCUCCUGAAGGAACGUUGAAGACGACGACGUUGAUAGGCCGGGUGUGUAAGCGCAGCGAUGCGUUGAGCUAACCGGUACUAAUGAACCGUGAGGCUUAACCUUACAACGCCGAAG